rnacentral:rRNA from 1 species
AUAUUGCACAAUGGGCGAAAGCCUGAUGCAGCGACGCCGCGUGAGGGAUGACGGCCUUCGGGUUGUAAACCUCUUUCAGCAGGGAAGAAGCGAAAGUGACGGUACCUGCAGAAGAAGCGCCGGCUAACUACGUGCCAGCAGCCGCGGUAAUACGUAGGGCGCAAGCGUUGUCCGGAAUUAUUGGGCGUAAAGAGCUCGUAGGCGGUUUGUCACGUCUGCUGUGAAAACCCGAGGCUCAACCUCGGGCUUGCAGUGGGUACGGGCAGACUAGAGUGCGGUAGGGGAGACUGGAAUUCCUGGUGUAGCGGUAAAAUGCACAGAUAUCAGGAGGAACACCGAUGGCGAAGGCAGGUCUCUGGGCCGCAACUGACGCUGAGGAGCGAAAGCGUGGGUAGCAAA